UGUGCAUCUCCUUCACCCAGCAUGGCCUGUGGGUACUCACUGGAUACUCAUCUGAGCUGAGGUCCUUCUAGAGCACUACCUUUGGCUUUGUAACAAUUGGGUUUAACUGGCAAGCCCUGAGUUUACAAUAUGAUGCUGUGUUUUCACUAUAGGAAUACCCCAAUUUCGAGUCCAGCCAUUCAUUUAAUUCCUGAAAAACGUGUCCAUGUCUGGAGGCUCAGAUUAUGAAGUUGCCAACAUUUCUGUGAAUUCAGUUGAGUGUCAGGAGUUCUCCAACCCUUUUAACUUCAGAGAAGACCCACCUAACUGGAAUAUCAAGAAAUAGCAUGAUGUUGUCCUUCAGGGUCUUCCUGUGCCUUUCCACAGGACAGCCUGUGUUGUGGAAAUGGAAGAAGGCAUAUUUAUGGAAGAAGCUGACAUCUGCAAGAGCCUUGGGUCAGAUGGAACCUUGCAUAAAAAGAGAAAAUAAGCAAAAUUUAUUGGAAAGGAAACCAGGUCUUUUACUGCUUUUAGCUUGGUCCCUGCUUCCAUUUCCCUCCUACUUGAGAUGCUUUGCAAAAAUAUGGGCAACUCCAUGAAAUCUGAGGCAACCCUGUGCUGGUAACCUAAACCAAUGGGAGGCUGAAGGUAAUUAUUCCAUGGCCUUAGAAUGCAAAAAUCUGCGUUCAUCGACUCUUUGCUCUCACAUGAUGCUCAUCUUGGUUAUCCUCCAGUCCAUCCGAUUGUGAAACGUGGAAGAAUCAGCUUAGAAGGGAGCCUGGGUUGAAAGGCUCCAUGUAAAUGAAAAUUUAAUUAUUAUGAAACCACCUCAAAGAGUACACCCUCAUUUCACCUGUCCUAUUUUGCCUGUACCUCAGCCUGAGAAAGCUGGCAGAAUGAAGAGGACUUGUUGGGGGAAUAGAGGAUUUGGGCUGAGGGCCCUGCUGAGUGCAAGGCAGCAUGUACUCACAGUAAGCGUGCCAGCCAGACCUCCACACAUCCUGUAUCCAGUGCUGACCUUUCCUGUCAUUCCUCCCUCCUUGCCAGCAAAGGCCACGUGCUUUCAGCUUCUUAAAAGCUGUUCCUGCUUCUGCUCACAGCCACAAUAUGUGGUGGGGGGAGUAAACAAGCAAAGGAUGUGGCUGGCAGAUUUGUAGUUUGGAAGGGUACAGGAAAGUGGGAUGCCUUGAUUUCCCUUGCAUUGCCAAAAACCUGAAAAACCCCAAGUUUAAGCCUCCUCAGCUUUAGGCUUUAGCCAUUCUUUUCUUUUCUUUUCUUUUCUUUUCUUUUCUUUUCUUUUCUUUUCUUUUCUUUUCUUUUCUUUUCUUUUCUUUUCUUUUCUUUUCUUUUCUUUUCUUUUCUUUUCUUUUCUUUUCUUUUCUUUUCUUUUCUUUUCUUCUUUUCUUUUCUUGUUUU